rnacentral:snoRNA from 1 species
AUUCUGUUGUGAUGAAUUAUGAAAAAUUUCACAUGUCAGACUUCAGAGAUUUUGCUCAACGAUCCAUGAGAAGAAACUUCAUUUUUCUGAGUAGAAA